AAACGUGAGCUUCUUUCCCCCAAUUAUUUUCAAUUGAUUUUGUUAUUUUUAAGGUUCUUUGCGUUUGGUAGAUGAAAACAUGUUUAUGUCUGUCUUAAUUAAAUUAGUGUAGUAUGAAUGACUAUUGUUAGUGUAAUUUUAUUGUCUUUAGUAGUUCAGUGAUGUGUUUGGUUGGGUAUAGGAAUAGGAAAUUGCAAUUUAACGUCACAGAAAGUGUUGAAUACUGCUGGAUGGACUAUGAAUUAGAUGCAGCAAUAUAACUCAGAUGUAAUACUACUAAGUGCAGUUGGACAGGAAGCAAGAGAGGGUGUGAAAGAGCCUAGACCAGAAGUUUAUAAAGAUCAGAAUUACUAUGGAGGUAAUUUUAAUCAGAAACAGGGUGGGG